ACUACGAAGGAAGCUGGGGUGAUAGGGACCCCUUUCCUCCCCUCCCCUGUGAGCAUUUUUUAAGGGGGAGGGUUUGUGGUGGGACAGCUGCCCCACCCCCAUGUGAGAGGGAACUAGAGUAGGCCAGAAUGGCUGUGCAAGCCGUCAGCCAAUCAGGGAAGGGCCUACUGAGAGCCAAUCAGGGCCGAGAUUAGAGCCAGCCAAUCAGGGCUAGGCUAGGCCCUAUAUAAUGGCUGCCCAGGAGAGCAGCAGGUAGUCUGUCCCAGAAUUUCAUGGGGGAAGGUCUGUCUCCAGAGCAGGAGACCAGCAUCUCGGGCUGGGCAGUACUGCAUCUGGCCAUCCGAUGGCCGAGACAAAUUGUAACCGGCCCUUGAGACAAGGGGCUAGACUUUGGGGGUUGCAGUUGACCACCAAGGCAGGUGCAAGGACUGUUGCUAACCCCCGCCCCUGGAAUGGGGUGAGGAUGGACUAGUGGGCACUGCUGGAGGGGCAGUGGCCUGCAGGGCAGUGUCAAGUGGUGAGCAAUGCGGCUUCAGAUGCCAACGGAGGACAAGAGAAGGAUGGGACUCUGCCAGCAGAGGGCGUUCCCCAUGGACUGAGCUAAUUCCCAGAGUGACCAGCGGGAGGCGCCAUGCUGGAAUAGGAGCCUCCUUCCCAGCUGUCUUCCAGGCCCUGGGAUCUGGCACAGCCUCCCAGACGGGCGCUUCCUGUAGCUGAGCCACGUCAGGGAGCAGUGGGGAACAGGUCACCUCGUCCCAGCAAUGCCGGCUCUCAAAGAGGCUUAGAUGGAAGACCCCAGUCCCUCAUGGAGAGGCGGUGUCCAGGAUCCUGGAGACUGUUUCCUGCUGCAGGAGGUUUGAGCGGGGAGAGAUCACUCACUGUCAC